GGGGACGUGGCGGCUGCCUAUACAUGCAAGUCGUACGCUUCUUUUUCCACCGGGAGCUUGCUCCACCGGAAAAAGAAGAGUGGCGAACGGGUGAGUAACACGUGGGUAACCUGCCCAUCAGAAGGGGAUAACACUUGGAAACAGGUGCUAAUACCGUAUAACAAUCGAAACCGCAUGGUUUUGAUUUGAAAGGCGCUUUCCGGUGUCGCUGAUGGAUGGACCCGCGGUGCAUUAGCUAGUUGGUGAGGUAACGGCUCACCAAGGCCACGAUGCAUAGCCGACCUGAGAGGGUGAUCGGCCACAUUGGGACUGAGACACGGCCCAAACUCCUACGGGAGGCAGCAGUAGGGAAUCUUCGGCGAUGGACGAAAGUCUGACCGAGCAACGCCGCGUGAGUGAAGAAGGUUUUCGGAUCGUAAAACUCUGUUGUUAGAGAAGAACAAGGAUGAGAGUAACUGUUCAUCCCUUGACCGUAUCUAACCAGAAAGCCACGGCUAACUACAUGCGAGCAGCCCCGCCAAUACGUUUGUGUUAAACGUUGUCCCCAUUUAUUUUGGCGUGGACCCCGCGCAUUCGGUUUCUUUUAACCCAUGUGGGAGA
rnacentral:rRNA from 1 species